rnacentral:rRNA from 1 species
AACGAACGCUGGCGGCAGGCUUAACACAUGCAAGUCGAGCGCCCCGCAAGGGGAGCGGCAGACGGGUGAGUAACGCGUGGGAAUCUACCCAUCUCUACGGAAUAACGCAUGGAAACGUGUGCUAAUACCGUAUACGUCCUUCGGGAGAAAGAUUUAUCGGAGAUGGAUGAGCCCGCGUUGGAUUAGCUAGUUGGUGGGGUAAGGGCCUACCAAGGCGACGAUCCAUAGCUGGUCUGAGAGGAUGAUCAGCCACACUGGGACUGAGACACGGCCCAGACUCCUACGGGAGGCAGCAGUGGGGAAUAUUGGACAAUGGGCGCAAGCCUGAUCCAGCCAUGCCGCGUGAGUGAUGAAGGCCCUAGGGUUGUAAAGCUCUUUCACCGGUGUAGAUAAUGACGGUAACCGGAGAAGAAGCCCCGGCUAACUUCGUGCCAGCCGCCGCGGUAAGAC